rnacentral:misc_RNA from 1 species
GAUGAAGAACGUAGCGAAAUGCGAUAAGUAAUGCGAAUUGCAGAAUUUCCGUGAGUCAUCGAAUCUUUGAACGCACAUUGCGCCCGCCAGCACUCUGGCGGGCAUGCCUGUUCGAGCGUCAUUUCAACCAUCAAGCCCUGCUUGCGUUGGGGUCCUGCGGCUGCCCGCAGGCCCUGAAAACCAGUGGCGGGCUCGCUAGUCACACCGAGCGCAGUAAUACAUCUCGCUUUGGGCGUGCGGCGGGUUCUUGCCGUUAAACACCCCCUUUUUACCAAGGUUGACCUCGGAUCAGGUAGGAAUACCCGCUGAACUUAAGCAUAUCAAUAAGCGGAGGA